rnacentral:rRNA from 1 species
UGAGGAAUUUUCGGCAAUGGGGGCAACCCUGACCGAGCAACGCCGCGUGCAGGAAGACGGUCUUCGGAUUGUAAACUGCUUUUCUGGGGGAAGAGGAUGGACGGUACCCCAGGAAGAAGCCCCGGCUAACUACGUGCCAGCAGCCGCGGUAAUACGUAGGGGGCGAGCGUUGUCCGGAGUUACUGGGCGUAAAGGGCACGCAGGCGGCCUGAGGCGUUUCCGGUGCCAGCCCCUCGCUUACCGAGGGGAGUGCCGGGAAGACGCUCAGGCUUGAGGGCCUCAGAGGGACAUAGAAUUCCGGGUGGAGUGGUGAAAUGCGUAGAGAUCCGGAGGAAUACCAAAGGCGAAGGCAGUGUCCUGGGAGGCGACUGACGCUGAGGUGCGAAAGCCAGGGGAGCGAACGGGAUUAGAUACCCCCGUAGUCC